AACCGGAUUAGAUACCCUGGUAGUCCACGCUGUAAACGAUGUCGAUUUGGAGGUUGUGCCCUUGAGGCGUGGCUUCCGGAGCUAACGCGUUAAAUCGACCGCCUGGGGAGUACGGCCGCAAGGUUAAAACUCAAAUGAAUUGACGGGGGCCCGCACAAGCGGUGGAGCAUGUGGUUUAAUUCGAUGCAACGCGAAGAACCUUACCUACUCUUGACAUCCAGAGAACUUUCCCAGAGAUGGAUUGGUGCCUUCGGGAACUCUGAGACAGGUGCUGCAUGGCUGUCGUCAGCUCGUGUUGUGAAAUGUUGGGUUAAGUCCCGCAACGAGCGCAACCCUUAUCCUUUGUUGCCAGCGGUUCGGCCGGGAACUCAAAGGAGACUGCCAGUGAUAAACUGGAGGAAGGUGGGGAUGACGUCAAGUCAUCAUGGCCCUUACGAGUAGGGCUACACACGUGCUACAAUGGCGUAUACAAAGAGAAGCGACCUCGCGAGAGCAAGCGGACCUCAUAAAGUACGUCGUAGUCCGGAUUGGAGUCUGCAACUCGACUCCAUGAAGU
rnacentral:rRNA from 1 species